rnacentral:rRNA from 1 species
CCUACGGGAGGCAGCAGUAGGGAAUAUUGGACAAUGGGCGCAAGCCUGAUCCAGCAAUGCCGCGUGUGUGAAGAAGGCCUGCGGGUUGUAAAGCACUUUCAGUGGGGAAGACAAACUCGAGGUUAAUACCCUCGGGUCUCGACGUUACUCACAGAAGAAGCACCGGCCAACUCCGUGCCAGCAGCCGCGGUAAUACGGAGGGUGCGAGCGUUAAUCGGAAUUACUGGGCGUAAAGCGCACGCAGGUGGCUGGGUCAGUCGGUUGUGAAAUCCCCGGGCUUAACCUGGGAAUUGCGAUCGAAACUGCCCGGCUAGAGUAUGGGAGAGGGAAGUGGAAUUCCCGGUGUAGCGGUGAAAUGCAUAGAUAUCGGGAGGAACACCAGUGGCGAAGGCGGCUUCCUGGCCCAAUACUGACACUCAGGUGCGAAAGCGUGGGGAGCAAACAGGAUUAGAUACCCUGGUAGUCCACGCCGUAAACGAUGAGUGCUAGAUGUCGGGGGGCCUAGCCCUUCGGUGUCGCAGCUAACGCAUUAAGCACUCCGCCUGGGGAGUACGGCCGCAAGGUUAAAACUCAAAGGAAUUGACGG